UACGUAGGGCGCAAGCGUUAUCCGGAAUUAUUGGGCGUAAAGAGCUCGUAGGCGGUUUGUCGCGUCUGCCGUGAAAGUCCGGGGCUCAACUUCGGAUCUGCGGUGGGUACGGGCAGACUAGAGUGAUGUAGGGGAGACUGGAAUUCCUGGUGUAGCGGUGAAAUGCGCAGAUAUCAGGAGGAACACCGAUGGCGAAGGCAGGUCUCUGGGCAUUAACUGACGCUGAGGAGCGAAAGCGUGGGGAGCGAACAGG
rnacentral:rRNA from 1 species